CGUUCUGCAUGGAGCACUGGGUGUUAUAUGCAAACAAUGAAUCAUGGAACAAAACAUCAAAUCUAAUUAUGUAAUGAAUGUGACUAACAUAAUAAAAUUAAAAAAAUGAAAAGAAAAAAAGCUAUGUGCUUCAAAAGCACCACCAAGAAAGUGAAAAGUAGCCCAGAGAAUGGGAGAAAAUAUUGGCAAAUCAUAUAUCUAAUAAGGAACCUAUAUUCAAUAUAUAUAAAGAACGUUUCAACUCAACACUAGAAAGAUAAAAUAGCCCAAUUUAAACAUGGGCAAAGAUUGUGAAUAGCUGUUUUUCUAUAGAAGACAGACAAGGGGCCAAUAAGCCGCUGAAAAGAUGCUGGGUAUCAUCAGCCGGGGGGACUUCGAGAUCAGAAGCACAGGGAGACGCCGCGUGGUCCUCACUAGGAUGGCUCAUCAGGCAGGCAGUAGGAACGCUAGGGAUGGUGCGGAGAAACUCCGGCGGUUUGCGAAGUGCUACGGUCACUUUGGAAAACAGUUGGGCGGUUUCUUGAGAGCAUUCAACCUCGAGUUACCAUAUGACCCUGCCGUCCCCCAACAACCCCUCAAAGGCACGUGCCCCAGAAAAGAAACGUGUCCCACGAAAUCUGGGGCACGAAUGUUCACUGCCGCUGCGUUAUUCACAUGAACCAGCAGAAUAUCCAUCACCAGAUCCUUCGGGGAGACACCUACAAGCGGGGUGGCUGGCUCACCGGGUGGCUCUAGGUCUCAUCCAGGACCUGCCACCCAGCUCUCCGCACCAGCUCCCACUCCCGCCCGCAACGCCCGGGGGUCCAGCACGUCCUCGCUGACGCUGGUUAUUUUCUGUUUUCUUUUAUUACUUGUAAUAGCUGCUGUCCUAACAGGUGUGAGGUGCGGGCAGCAGUGGGUAGCCCAGGUGCUGGGAGGGGCAGGCUUGCCUUCUCCUGGGCGGGGGCAGGAGCGCGGGGCGCGGCCCCCCUGGAGCCCUCCAGCCCCGCCCCCUCGGGAGGGACCCCCUCCCUGCCGGCUCCAGCUCCCCGGCCGUGCCCUGCGCCCCGCCAGGCCCUCGCUGCACCCUGGGCACGGCGGGUGGCCCCAGAGCUGGUGCGGAGAGAGUGCUGGGGGGGAGGGGUGGCCUGGUUACUGGGGAUGGUGACCGGCCACCACCCGUGGGCAUCCCGUCUGUGUCCCCACCCCCAGGACUAACUUGGGCACAGCUGUCAGGCACUGGGAGUGGCUUACCUAUUUGGGGCUUGGAAGGGUUCCCCACCCUGCGGCCGGCCUCCUGGUGUCCAUUCAGCUGGAAGGAAAGGAAGAGGCAUGGCAGCAUUCUGACCCUAAUGACUCCUCCACAUUCUGUCCCCCUCCACCUCAGGGCCCCUCCCCCCCCGCAGACACAGAAGGACGAGCAGAGAACACAGCCACCGAGUGUGGGCAGAGCGGCUUCCAGACGCAGGCACGUCCAGGGCUGAGGCCAACCUCAUGCCCCCUCCGGCCUCCCGAAGGCCACAUGGGCCUCCAAGCACCUGGCUGGGCUGUGGGCAAGGGUCAGGCUUGGAGGUGACAUGGGCAGGACCACAACUGAGGGCCUCCAGCGGCUGGAGGAGAGCCAGACAGCCCCCGAAGUGGUUCUGCACACAGGCCAGAGGUGGUGAUGGCGCCAGAGGGUUUCUAGAAGGUCCAGGUGACCCCCAGGCAGGAGGAGCAGAUGAUACUCUUUAAUGGAGACAGGACCUCGGCUCCUCCUGGACCAUCGGGGAGGCUGGCCUGGCCACGCUGAUGCUGCGUCCUCCCCACCCGAUGCCUCUGUUCCAGUUGACAGGUUCCAGACAGCCCAGAGCCAGGGCUUGGCAUCAUGACACGGUCCCGGUACAGGUAGUGUGCGUCAUGGGGCACUCCUGAAGGGAUUCUCAAGAGUUUGAAGUCAGCUGGCAGCCUUUGGUGCUGCUGAACGCCCCCUGCUGUGGUGUGGGGGUGCGGGGGUGUCCCCUUCUGAGUGCUCUGUGCACAGAGGACGGGGACAGAGGACGCCCCAGUCACCAAGGCCACAGAAGUGACCUGCUCCACGGUGGGCCCACUGGACAGGUGGGAAAACUGAGGUUCCCUAGGAUUGGAGGUGCUGAGCACCUGGCCUUUCUCAUCCUCCCCCAGGGCCAGGCAGGCCUCUGGGGCACCAGGGUGAGCCCACAGUUCAGGGCAUUGGGAGCCCUGAUGGGCUGGGGGUGCUCACCCAGCCUCCCUGGAGUCCAUCUCCCUCCCUCCCUCCCCGUGGCUCUUGCAUCAUGGAACAGGUUCCCACCUGGCACAGCGGCUUCCGGAAGAGGCCUCCGAGGUCGUGGACACCCUUCCAGCACGAACCUGGUCUGGGCAGCUGAGUCUGGGCCAGACCUGCAGGCAGAGAACUGGGAGGGA